UUGAUAAAAUGUCCCCUCUUGUCUGCUGCCACUGAAGUCUCUGGCACCCUCUGCACAUACUGACAUCUCUGUUCUGUGAGAACAGUAUAAUGAUUUGGCCUGUCUUGUCUAGACUCAUUUUAUUCUUUGAUUUUUUUUUUCCUCUCCAAAUGAUAGGUACUCGUGGAGUGCUGCAAUGGCUUCCCACCUGCAUAUCCCUUUUGGACAGGAUCAGUGUUUUCCAUUAUAUUCUUCACAAUCUUUUAGCAGUCAGGGUACCUUUCAUUACGCGUUGCCAUCAGCAAGGCUAGCCCUUAGCCUUCACACUAAAGGAGUUAAUGUUCCUGAGGUAGCCCAAGCUUCCUCUUUCUUGCCCAGCUGUUUUUUCUCCUGAUGAACUGACCAAGUUAGCAACUGUGAUGCAAUUGCCCACAGAUUCUACUAUCCUGGUCCCUUACAGGGCUAUAUGCCAUGUACAUUGCCUUUCAGUUCAUGUAUGCUAAAGAUUUCCUAGGACAGAAAAGCACUAGAAGGGUUGUGUUGAGACUGUAAGUGAAUACAUAGAUGAAAAUGUAAAAGAAACAUCAAAAACACUGGCUUAAUCUCUUUGAAAUAAACAUUUACAGCUCUUGUGACCUUUUCCUGUAGAUCAUGUCAAACCCUUCAUCAAGUUCAGCAUGAUUUAAAAUUUAGAGCAACACUCCCUUUAGGCUGUUACAUUAAAGUCCAGAUGUGAAUGAACAUUCAGGUUCAAUCUGAAUUUUUCCACCAGCUUCCAAUUCAUAACCUGCAGGCAGUUGCAAGAAGGUUGGAUGCGCGUGACUAUUCACUGAUCCCAAACAAGGACUCUUUUUACAUGAUGGCAGAGGGAUGAUAUAGUUUCCCCCUCACUGCUUUGAAAUUAAGAUAAUUUACUAACAUAGCAAUUUUUUGAGAACUUGCAUUUGGCAUGUUUUGUUGUGAGCUUUAGUUUGUAGGCAACUUUCUUAUUUACAGCUAAAAUAUUGUCAACAUCUAGGAUUAGAAAAAAGAUCCUACUACCUGAAAUGUAUACUUUUUCUGCAAUAUCAAACAUCCAGCAGCUGUUCUCAUCCUCACAUAAGCCAUAGAUCUCUAUCGUGUUAAGAACAUGAUUAUGUGCAUUGACUCUCUGAACUAGCAGUGCAAACAGGACAUUGGUCAGGGAGGUAGGACAGAAUUUAGGAAUAAGUUUUGGAGGAACAACUCAUGUCACUGCAGGCCCAGAGACAGGAGCAAACAUUUCAAGCACAUGUCUGCUGUACUCCUGGUUUGUGCUUGCAGAAAAGGAGUCUCCCCCAGCCUGGGCUGCAAUUGCCAACCCCUACGCACCUCUGAAUACCAGUGCUGUUUGGCAUCACUGUAUUGCUAUUCAUUUGUAUUCCCAGCUCCAACUCUGUCCUCUGUUCCUGCUUUGUAAUUUGCUUGAGGUACCACAGCAGGCCAGAUCCUGACGCUGGGCUCACAGGAUACUCCUUCUUUAGUCAAUAAAUGGCCUCUUCCAACCAUAUUGCAUUCCUAAAGCAGUUUUUGGGGGACUGAAAGAUAGACUUUUGCUCUAGAUGGAUGCACCUAUAUGAAGAUAGUGAGGGGGCUAAAGGGCAGGACAUGUGAGGUGUGGCUGAGGUCCCUGGGUGUGUUCAGCCCAGAGCAGAGGAGCUGAGGGGAGGCCUCAUGGUGGCUGCAGCUCCUCACAGGGAGAGGAGGGGCAGUGCUGAGCUCUGCUCUCUGGGGACAGUGACAGGGCCUGAGGGAACAGAGCAGUGCCAGGGGAAGGACAGGGACAGGUUCUGCACCAGAGGGUGGUAGGGCCCUUGAACAGGCUGCCCAGGGCAGUGGUCACAACCCCAAGCUGCUGGAGUUCAAGAAAUGUCUGGACAGCGCUCUCAGACAUGGGGUUUGAGUUUGGAGUCUUUCUGUGAGGAGCCUGUAGCAGGACUUCAUCAUCCUUGCGAGUCUUUUCCAACUCAGGAUAUUCUGAUUCUGCAAUUCUAUGAUUUUAUUCAGCCUCCUGCUGAUAUUUUGUACUAGUGCUCACGUUUGUAACAUCCCAGUGAUGUAAUUAAUGUGUUUACAGAGUCAUUUAUGGCCUUGACACCCAUGGUGCACCUUCAGUGAUCAGCCAGCCUCAGACCUGUCUCAGGCACCAUGGUUGUUUUGGUGGAGCCAAUGAACCCAUGUCCCUGCUGCUGCUCUUUGCUCAGUUCCAGGAAUGAGGCAAGAAAGGGUACAUACCGUACUUGUUCCCUGCUUUUAUGUAUGCCUUUAAAAGGAGCACAAUAAUGUAGUGUGUUGACUAUUGUUAAUUAUCUGCUAUAAAAAGUUUAGAUCUUUUUUCCUAAUGAUUUCUUUUUAUUAUGUUUGGAAACACACAAGGUUGAUCAUCUUUCUUUAAGAGGAAAGAAGAAAGGUAGGGAAAGAGUUCACAGAUUCUUCAAAUGGCCACUCUGCUUGGAGAUGAAACACACAGUCCCAGAUCUGUGACCUGAGUCCCACCACCUACGCCCUGCCUGGAGUUUCUAGCUGGUCUUUCCUCGCCUCUGUGAUUUUCAUUUCUACAGCAGCCCUGGAAGAUCCUCCCUGUCUCUUGAAAAUGUAUCUUUUAAAAAGUUAACCUUCCUUUGUCAUUGAAAGUAUGAAGGAACAUCUCAUGAACUCCUGUAAUUAGGGAGAAGGGACAAGCAGGCCCAGAAUACUCCUUGAGGUAAUAUCCGGGAAAUUUCUCAUGAGAAACUUCUGGGUGAGCAGCUGGAACUUGGCAGCAGAAGAGGAGGCCUACAGAAGCCCAAGGGUCAGCAUCAUUCAUGAGCUGGGUAUGGAAAGAAUGCUCAUCAUUCUGGCCGGUGAAUGGGAAAAUUUCAAAAUGAAGAGUGAGGGCUGUCCAUACCUGGGGAACUCAGCUGGCCUCCAGGAGCGGAGUGGACUGUGGCUGCAUAUCUCCAGGCUGAGAAGGAAGCUUAACACAGAUUUUGCCUUUCCUAGAGUGGGAGUUUACUCUUGCCCAUGAUGUAUGUGGAGCAACCCUUCCCCUGAGAGGAGAGCGAGAAGCUGCUGUACACUUGCCCUGGACUUAGAGCAACCCCAUGGACUGGAGCAGCCAGAAGUAUCCUGUUUGUUCACAUCUCACCUUAGCCUGUGGUUUCAAGACACAUCAAAGCAAGAAAGAAGCAAGGAAGCUGUUGGGAGAAUGCAGUUUCUGACAUGUUUUGCAAGAGUAGUCCUUUGAAAACUAAUGAAAGCCCCAUUUUGCACCUGAAGGAGCUCUUCAGAACUGUAAAAUACUUCCAGAGGGAAUCUACAUCACGAAAGUUCUUCUCAAGCUGGCUGCUUCAACCAGGGGAAGCAGAGACACUGAUUUGACUGCUGCUGGCUCCACUACAGAUGUAUGCUAAAGCAGUGGUGGAACACUCAUCAUUGCAGUAAAGUUGAAUGUGUGCAAUAUCAAACUCCCCUGCUGAAGCAGUGGGGGCAGGAAGAAGGACUGGAAUCAGUCAUACUCCAUGCAUCAGGCCAGAUCCUCUUCCCGUACACAUGAGGCCGGUGGUUCUGGAGGAAGACAGAAUGAAAUCUUCGUUCCCUCCAGCCAGCCACUUUGUGCCCUCAUUUAACCUGUGCAGCCAUGAGAAGUCAGUGGUAUCGGCACAGGAGUACAGGAUGGUGAGAUUUAGCUCAUUAAUUCUUUCUUCCCCAUAACAAAAAAGAGGGGAUUAAUGUAAAAGUUUAUUCUGAUAUAUUCACACCAUACUUAUUAUCACAGGAUGUACGAAGAGUUUUUGUGGCUGCAUUUGAUCCUCCCAUUUUACUCUCGCUCUGAGAUUACUGGGGAAAUUCCUUACCCACAAGUGGAUGCUCUGUGAAGGGCAGGAUGUGGUGGCCUGGUGACUGUCGGGCUGUGUCAUAGCCAGCAGGCCCCACCAGGCAGCACUGCCUCCCUCCAGCCUCCAAUUACAAUAAAUCGCUCCUCCUAAGGCACGCUUACCAUGUCCACUUUUCUGAUCCUCAAAAUAAACUUGCUUUUCUACAAGCUACCAGGAGCUUCAUGAAAAGCACCUUUGCCUCCAGAAAAAGCGAUUUGGGGUGAUUUCUGGAACCUGACUCCUCUACUAAUUUUCUCUUGCUUUUUUUUUUUUUUUUUUCCUAAUGUUCUUCUAUCCAGUUCAGAUAUUUUCACCCAGAGUGUCAUCAUUGCUCUUUUCCUCAAUAUUUUGCUUGUCUGGCCAUAGAUCAAGCAGCACACUGCAAAAUGCAGUGAUAUGGUAAGGAGCAGGAGCCUGAGAUCCAUCUUUGUAAGCUGAUGCAAGCUCCUCUUCCCUUCUCUGUGCAUGCGUUGGGAGCAUGGGUGGAGAAGGACUGUGUAAAAAGAAAACUGAAAAAAUGUAAGGAAAAGUGUAUAUGUGUGUAUAUGUAUGUGUGUGUGUAUAUAUAUGUGUGUAUAUAUAUAUGAAAGUAUAUAUAUAAAUGUAUAAAUAAGUAUAUCUAUCAGUUUAUCAUAUAUAUAUAUACAUAUCAGUUUUCUGAUACAUAUAAAUUCAGCAUAUAUUCCAUCAAGAUGGUGGGAAAACUAUUAAUAUCAACAAACCAUCAAAACAAGGCCUGGAAUGCUGUGGUUGUGUUACUUCUCAUCUAUGUGCUCUUGUUCUGCCAUCAAACAGAAAUUCAUGGUGCUCAUGGUAUAAGCAAUAAUCAAAGAGAACAAAAUGAGUAAAUACGAGCAAUAGCUACAGGUACUAACUGGUGUCACCUUGACAUGUGUCUACUGAUGGUUGCUAAGGGAGAGAUGAAAGCUGACUUUUCUUAGCUAAGACAAGAAAGCACACAAGUGGUUGUGUGAUGGAGCAAGGAACAGUGCAAAUGGGCACACAGAUUCUCCAGAAUUGUCACAGUGCCCCAGCAUCUCCCAUCACAUGCAGCUGCACGCGUAGACAUUGUCUUCCUCUUGCUUCUAAGGAGUACUAUGAAAGUUUGUUCAUUCAAACCUGGAAAAAUACAAAACCAUCAAUAAGAGGAACUGAAAUCAUCAAUUUUUAGUGUUUCAGUUUCUCCAGCAUCACUGCACAUUGUGUGGAAACAUUCCCUCAGGUCAGUUCCUGGCGUAAACAGGAAAUGGCACAGCUGUGGUGCAAGGGCUGUGCUCACUCAUGGUUUGUUCCAUUUUCUUUCUGAAUGUUUAGAGAUCGCUCUGUCAGAUCUUCUCCUUGAUGAAGCUAAUGAGCCCUGGUGAACUUAAACUUCAGCGUGGUUGUAGAAAAGCAGGUUUGGCUUGGUUUUGUAUCCAGAUGUGGUUCUACCACUUGCCCAAACAAAAGUGCAGAACUUGAGGGACUACACUGGUUCUUGCUUUAACUUUUUUUGUAACACUUCAGAUUUUGCUUUCAUCCUCCCAUGCCCAUGAAAAUCAAACUUAAAUACAUCAAAGCAAGCAUGAAUAAAUGAAAAGGAAGGGCAUACACUUUCAUAUGCAAUUACAUGCCUUGAUGAUGUUUGCUCCGCUGUGCAAUUUUGAAACCAUAGAAGCUUACCAAAUUCCAAUGUAUACUGAAAAGUUUUCUGGAUCUAGAGAAGUAGUUAGAAUUUUUAACCAUCAGUCUGAUACAUAAAGCUCAAGAAAAGUGUAUGUCCAGUUUUUUUACUUUUGAAAGCAAGUGUCAUAUAAUGUUUGGAGCAAACUACCCAAGUAAUAAUCUAAAGAUAGAAGGUGCUCUGUUUUGUUUUUCUUGUCUUUUUCUUUCUUUCUCUUCCUUCCUUUCUUUCCUUCCUUCUUUCCUUCUUUCUUUCCUUCUUUCUUUCAUUUCUUUCUUUCUUUUCUAUUUUUCUUUCCUAUCUUUCUUUCCUUCUUUACCCAAUAUUGAGGCUAUGGACUCAAAGUUUGCGAAGUUUGCAAAGCUGUAUUUGUUAAGCAUCAAUUUCCUGCAGCUAACUUGAAAAGACCUGCUAAUGCUGCAAUGAAAUGCCACCUGGGUAGUCAGUGUAAUUUUUAAGAAAAAUGCAGUUUGGGGAUUCACUACUCAGAAAUACAGACUUCCAAAUAUCCCCAAAGACUCCUGUUCUUGCAUACAAGUCCUAAAUCAUGACUGGAUGAUCUUGUAGGUCUUUUCCAACCUAGCUGAUUCUAUGAUUCUAUGACCUCUCCAACUGAGAGUGCUGUAAAGACAGUGUACACAGAAAGACGCAAAUAUUGUGUUGUAUUUUUGUUGGGUGUUUGGUGUAAUCCUCAAAGUUCUGGCUGCUCUAUGGGAAAAGUUAGCUGAAUAAUUGUCCGAAAAAUGGUGUAAGUGCAAUUUUCCUAUAUACUGGACUCUGCUAGUAUGACACAAAAAAAAUCCAUUAGAUUGUGUUUGUGAUGGUUAGUGUUUAUCAGCCAUAUGAACUCUAUCUUAAUUAUAAUUUAAGUUUAGUGAAAAACACUAUCAGUGGGGUUCUAUGUGUAAAAGCUGACCUGAGUUCUUCAGUGUUCCUUUAUUUGUCAAUGGAGAGAAAUGGGUUUCUCCAGAGGAUGUUCAGAGGAAUGUUGACAUAACCCCUGCAAGAAGCUUUCUGUGUUCAAACGGAGUCUUGCUGGCUUUUCUGGCUGCCCACAGCUGACUGAGGCGACAGAUGAGCUUCACCUGUGGUUGAAAUGCUGAAGUGUACCACAGUGGUGGUUGUGAGCAACGUGCCUCUCCCAGAGGUCUUUCUUGUGAUGGAGAGACCUAGAAUGAUUCCAAGAGGCAGAAAUUCUCUUGCCUCUUACAGAGCUGUGGGACCAAGUCCUUCAUCCUGCUGUUGCUCUUCCACAACAUACAAACCCUUUCAUUAACUGAGCAAGAGUACAGUAGAGGUUAAACCUCUGCUGACCAAGAAGCAAACAGACGCACUAAAUCUUUCAGAGGUUAUUGCACAGUUAUUGAGCAUGCAAGCUUACAGUCAAAGAUGGAGGGAAAUUUCCAAAGUCUGCAAAAAACUCGUGCCACCGAAGCACACCUGUUUCUUCACCUUGAUACCCUCUGGGAAAUCUGGGACUUGGUAGAGUGCACCUUAAUUCUUGUAUGUCUUGAUGUGGGUUUCCCAUGCUGUAUUAAUCUGUAUUUGGCCACAUUACAGAUAACCCGUAACUUUACUAGGAAUGUGUGGAGGGUCAAGGUACUGAGGCUGGAAUGAGCAGAGAGCUAGACAGAGCAGCUCAAGUGCUUUUGAAAAGAUCCCCAGGGUACUCUCCCUUCUUGAUUGCUUCUCCCCCCAGGCAUUCUGGGCUCUACUCAUUCUUGGGAGAAAUUAGGGACUGAGAGGUGAUGGGAGCACAGCAUCACCAGCCGAAAGCUGUGGCAGGCUCCUGCAGAUCUGUCCGCCCCUAGUUCUGCAGACUUGCUGACUGGCAGGGACCAGUCAGGGCUGCAAGGCCCAAAGAAGACCUGCAAUACAAAAGGCAACAGUGCACAUGUUAUCCUGCUUUACUGAGUUCAUCAGAAAAUUUUUAAAAUAUUUAAAUCACAGCAAAAGCAGGUCAUGGUCUGCACAUAGUGUGGCCUUUUGUGCUCGUACUGGAAAAAGAAAUAAAUCUGUGUUGGGAGCCACUGAUACGCUAAAUGAAUGAUAAGGGAAAUGAGAGACAGAGGAGAAAAAAAAAACGUUUCUGAUUAUUGAGAUAUGUAGAUCUGUCUCCGUCUAUGGAGAAAAAAAAAACAAACAUAGAUCACGUGCAACCCCAGGGCUUAUUAAUUAGGGGAUGAGGAAGGAAAAUAUGUACAAAUCUGGUGUCUUAAUUCUUGAAGGUACCAAAAUUUUUCUUGAGUCUUUAGUGACUACUGCUCAGCAUUCUUUCUUCUGGAAGUUCAGUAAAAUAUCUUAUUAAAUUCAGGUCUGAUAUGUAUUGUGGUGCUGAAGCAGCUGGUAAUUUUGAAGGAAUAUUUGUGUUAACUGCUGUGUUCUAUGGAGACUUAAUAUAAAUAAAUAUAUUCAGGAACUCAGUUCAGUAUAUUAGCAAUGGGAAUUGGGAGUGUCAGUGAAAGAAGCUACCUCUUACUCAUUUCUCGGGUUUAAUUUUAUUAACGGAUACAAAUGAUUUGUUAAACAAAUAUAAAACAAAAGGAAAAGAAGAAUGAACUCUGUGUCACCAUUGGGCUCAUCUCAUAACCCAGAAUCCCUGGGUAUCAAGUGCUUUUCAUCUCAGACUUACCUUAUCAUCUUAAUAAAAGGCCUUGGAAAGAAACGGCUGAAGAAACCACCUCAAAAACCUUCAGCAUUUUCAUGUCAAUCGUACAGUUUCUAGAAGGCCAGGUCCCUGUUUAAGGUCUAAUGUGUUUGGAGAGUGACAAGAGGUGUGUGCUAUUAGGCAGAAUGCCUUUUAUACACAAGGAAUUGGAUCAAUUUGACCCUGAUUGUCUCUCCAUUUUAUUGUCCCAUGACUUCAACACUCGACCCCUGGCUCAUCUUAAGGAAGAGGCUGAUUGAACUGGAGGUCUGACACUUGUCGGUUGUGGAUAACGUUGGCUUCAGUCAGUCAUGUUCACACAUAAAUGAGCCCUGGCAGAGAUAGACUGUUGAACAGAAAAAGCAGCUUUUCUGUGGAGAGCCUCCUUGUUUAAAUCCAUCAAAUAGUAAGGUCUGCUUCACAACAAAACAGCCUGAGAUAAGUAACAGAGGUAUAUAUUAUUUCUCUUGCUACGAGGAACUGUCUGUUUUGAAACAUGCAACGUGUGGGGAGAAAUGGCAAAAGGACCAUAAUGGUAAAUGCUACUUUGGUUCUAUAACGCGAGGCAGCGCACGGGGCUCCUGCUUGUGAGUGGGAGACGUCGCUGUGCACAGUGUCAGCAUCACUGUGACAUCAGUUCUUCCCUCCUUAGAGCAAGGUGAUGUACAUCUUGAUUAAAAUGGCAGAAAUGGAAUUCCUCCCCUUUUCUCUCUUUGGAUUUGUCUUUCUUUCUGCUGUUCUCAAAAUCAGAAAUUUCCAAAAAAAAAACCCACACCCCUCCCUGCAAGAGAGUGAAAAACACAGUCCUCUAACAGGGAAAAAGAAGAAAAACAUAAACUCACUUCUAUCCAUGUGAUGUCACUGCAACUCUGCUAUGAACAGUGGGGAAAGAGAGAAAAAAGAAAAAGGAAGGAAGUGUGGAAAGAAGGCUAUUGUUUUUUUUUUUUUUUUUUUAAAGAAUGCAAAUACAACUCCACUGCACUUUCAAAGCAGUUUGCAUAAAUGUCUCUCCAUGAUUUUUUUAUUUAUGGCCCCUAAGUUUCUAAUUAAAUACUAAUUAAUACUAUCACCAGAAUUGUCUCCCGUCCUCAGCUCUUCAUAGCUUUGUCAUUUUGAUUAAUGCAUAGUCAUUUAUUAACUUAUUUAACAAGCAAAGAUGCCUCAUGACAAACCAGCUUAAAUUAUCCCCAUAACGGUUUCAUUACUGCAAAAAAGGAGUUUUAAACUUAAUAAAAAUUAUCCUCAAUAAUGUGGAAGCUUUUUCUUUGCAGCCUUAGAGGAUGGAAAUAGAUUUUUUUGCUUGAUUUAUAAUA